ACUAAUCACAGGAACAUCAGUUGUAGGUUUGUGAACUAAUCACAGGAACAUCAGUUGUAGGUUUGUGAACUAAUCACAGGAACAUUAGGUGUAGGUUUGUGAACUAAUCACAGGAACAUUAGUUGUAGGUUUGUGAACUAAUCACAGGAACAUUAGUUGUAGGUUUGUGAACUGAUCACAGGAACAUCAGUUGUAGGUUUGUGAACUAAUCACAGGAACAUCAGGUGUAGGUUUGUGAACUAAUCACAGGAACAGUAGUUGUAGGUUUGUGAACUAAUCACAGGAACAUUAGUUGUAGGUUUGUGAACUAAUCACAGGAACAUUAGUUGUAGGUUUGUGAACUAAUCACAGGAACAUUAGGUGUAGGUUUGUGAACUAAUCACAGGAACAGUAGUUGUAGGUUUUUGCUGCCUGAGCCUGAAGUUGAUCAGGAUGUAAUUAGCAGUAACCAUGGCAGCCACAACAAGCCCAAACAAUCUGAGUAAAGAGGCGGAGCUUUCCUCCAAUCUGGCAAACAUCAUCUUUAAUCUGGACUCAGUGUUCUCUUGUAAACAUUGCUCUCUUUGAUGACCCCCCCAAACACACACACAGACACACACACACACACACAGACACACACCUCCUCACAAUGGAGAUGUGUUUUAAUCUCUGUGGCAGCUGGUCCAUUCAAAAGGUUCUGCCUCUGUUUGUAACGGCAAUGAGAGUUUGUCCACCUGCACCAGAGUUCUGUUUGAAGACGAGGACUUCACAGAUCUGCAGUCAUCUCCAAGAGAAAAGAA